rnacentral:rRNA from 1 species
AUUGAACGCUGGCGGCAUGCCUAACACAUGCAAGUCGAACGAGUGGCGGACUGGCGAGUAAUUUCUGGGAAACUGCCUGAUGGAGGGGGAUAACUACUGGAAACGGUAGCUAAUACCGCAUACCAUCGGAUGUGCCCAGAUGGGUGUAGCUAGUAGGUGGGGUAACGGCUCACCUAGGCGACGAUCCCUAGCUGGGCUGAGAGGAUGACCAGCCACACUGGGACUGAGACACGGGCCAGACUCCUACGGGAGGCAGCAGUGGGGAAUAUUGGACAAUGGGCGAAAGCCUGACGCAGCCAUGCCGCGUGUAUGAAGAAGGCCUUCGGGUUGUAAAGUACUUUCAGCGGGGAGGCGUUACUCAAAGAAGAAGCACCGGCUAACUCCGUGCCAGCAGCCGCGGUAAUAC